GCGAAGAGUGGAAGCUGAACCAGAGUAUUUGGCUGCAUGGGUUGAUUGCUUGAUGAACCACAGGUGCGAGACGCUGCAGGUGGUGAAGAGCCAGGACCGGAAAUGCCCACAUUAACAGAGACAGGACAAGACAAACAAGACUGACAGAGACAGCAGGGGAUAGAUAACUGGAAACACACUAGGAAGGGACAGGAGGCAAAGUCUAAUCAUGACAGAUGGUCCCAUUGUCUGAUGUAACAUGGACAACUUAACCCCUCCUGCUGAUAAACCGUCAUAAUGCAUUUCUGCAGGCAUCAGUCUCAAGAGAAUUGGCCACCUCCAAAUGAACUGCUCUACAAGUCCCAGGGACCAAUGCAUUGGAAUUACACAUAUGUGUGCACACAACUAAUAGUCUUAGAUGGCCAUUUAACCCGGUGGCCUACUUCAGUUAGCUACAGAGUCCCUGGCAGUGUCGCUCCUCUCUGGCGCCCUCUACAUCCGAUGAGCGGUGACUGUAGCCAAGUGGUCUCCUGAUCAGCUGAUUACCAGAUGAGCCGCAGCUGGCGAAACACUCCACACACUCCGUCUCAAUCCUUCCUCAUCACCGCCACCAAAGGGGCCAAAGGUCUCCACCAUUCAUCAGGAGGUGCGUGCCAUACAAAGUGCUGCAUGUGGAGGAAAAUCUGCAAGCAAGGCAAAUCAUGGAGUGGAGGAGGUACUCGAGCUGCAAACAUGCUAUGUGAUCUACAAUCAGUAGUGCUGUCAGAAAUCUGAUGAUCAAAACAGAUAGGCUGCUGAGAGCUUUCCAACCAGCAGGCUUGGAAACAUUCAUCUGUGGAUUGGUUGGGGACAUUUUCCACUGGGGAAGGUACAUCUCCCCUGAUUAGUUUUUACCUCCAUCAUUCAAAUUUCUUUUUCACUUUCAUGCUUCAUGUUUAGAUCUCAGAUCUGAAAUAUGCUCCAAAACAAUGUUGAUGUGUAUUUUCCUACAAGGCAAAAAACCCCCAGCCAUCUUGUUUUGAUGUUUAACACUGAUCAUGUAAUUCCCCAGUAGACUUUCCCAGGGAAAAUUCAAAGCUCAAGGUUUCUUUUUUCCUUUUUCUAAAAGCUGUUAAUAAAUGAAAGGCUUGUGAGCUUUAUAUAUUUUACAUUUUAAUGAUUAAGAAUGAGAGCUGUGUCUUUAAAGCUGGCGGGACUUUUACAGUUAAAUGAAUAAAUGAAUGUCCGUUUCAUUGAAGCCCUUGCCAAACAAGUUUACACAAUGCUGAUUAAGCCUAUGACUGCCAGGUAAAUCUCUCUUUUUUUUAUAGUAUACCAGGGUUUUUAAAUCUAGCGUCUGUGACAACAUUCUGGCACAUUGGUCAAACAUCAAUCAUUGGAGCAAUCUGUCCUUGCUGCAAAAAAAAAUAAAUAUCCAUCCAGUCCAUGCGAGACAAAGACUGAUAUGUUUACCAUGAUUGUAUAGUUUGUGUUAAUCGUCAAAUAAGAUGUGUUUUUAAUUCUGAAACUCAUCUAUGCCUUAAAGGUUCGGUGUGUAAGUUUUAGUGGCAUCUAGUUCUGAGGGUUAUGAUUUGCAAGCUGAUUGGAACUAACGGCUCACUCACCUUUCACUCCUCCCUUUGCAAGCGCAUAGGAAAAGCUAUCGUGUCUCUGUCAGCUCUUGUGCUAAAUAAUAAAUGCGGGCCUCUAUUUGUUCAAAUUUCACUGCU